UGGUCGGCAUGCAUUUUAGAUUCAAUCAAUGUUUAGAGGUGCUGAGGAGGGGAAAGUGAAACUGCGAUAUUACUUUAUGAACUUUAAAAAAACAUUGCACUAUAUUAAACAAAGAAAAAUAAUGAUAGUCAUUAUGUUGAGCUAACUCCUUUGUCUAUGGUUGUGGGUACAACAGAUAGAUUGUCACAUAGUGAACUUCUUCCUACAAUUGUGGAUUUUAG
rnacentral:lncRNA from 1 species